rnacentral:lncRNA from 1 species
GGACGUCAGCAGUCUCGAUGCACGGAAGAAGUUAGAGAAAGGAUUAAGAAGAAUGAUGUGGUUAAUGAUUUCAUCUGUGGUUUAUAUAAAUUUCUGCAUAAAUGAGAUUAAAGACAUUGAAUUUCAUGUUUAUUGGGUUUUCUCUUAUUCUCCGAUGAUAUUUGACCAUUUUCAGACUUAAAAAAUGCAUAUCAAUGACAUGUUUUGUUAUUUCUUCAAAACAGUAUUAUUGUUUCCCUUAACUGCAUGCAAUUGUAGGAU